rnacentral:tRNA from 1 species
AUGUUUGUAGUUUAUGUAGAAUAAAGGUUUGUGGCACCUUAGGAGUGGAGUUACCAUCAAAGAUC